rnacentral:lncRNA from 1 species
GCUGAGACUUUCAUUGAGUCUUACAUGUGAUGGUUUUAGCCUGCUAGUGAUUUUAAAUCAUCUUGAACAGUUGAACCAAAAGCUAAAAGGGAAACUUAGGGUGGGAGGGGAGGUUGUCAGGAUGUAGUUUAGACAUUUUCCCUUUGAAGAAACCACUUGCCCCAUUUCCUCCUCCACUUUUAUCAAAAUUUUGUUUACAGAGGACACUUGGAAAAUUUCUCCUUUUAAAGUUACAUUCUAUAAGAGUAUAUUUAAUAGGCCUGCUAUAAGCUGAACCUAUUGACAUCUUUAUGUGGUGAGACUUACCUUAAAACCCACCACUCUGUUUUGUACCACUAAUAUAAACAUAAUUUGGGAAAUUGUAAUGUUACACCUGUGCAAUUCUUACAAGUGGCAUAUCAUGGCAGAGAAAAAUUUAGGUACUUGGCUUGGACAAGCCAUAAAGUUGUGGCGGAAUGUUUUGUGGUGUUCUUGGACUGCAAUUGUGCACUAUUAAAGUAGUGGCCUGCUACAUAACUGCAUUUAGCCAGCAUUUCUGCAGUGCGUAACUGUGAGGAACGUAGUACCGCAAAUGGCAAUGGACAUUAGGACCCGGAUGUAGUAUUCCUGCUUGCUCCAAGAUUCUCAUUGCCGACUGCAUACAGGUAAGAAUGAUUGAUGUUGGCUGACUUUGGAAUCUUUCUUACUUGAAGUGGAAUUAGAUGUUCUCAAGACAUACAACAUGGGCCAUCCAAGAAGGAAAGCCACAAAUUGCUUAGAUUGACAGACUCUUGGAUCAAGUGAGCUGUACCAGAAAAUGAGUCAAGACCAAAGAGGAAUGAACUUGACAUUAAUAAAGAUACAUUAUUUU